rnacentral:lncRNA from 1 species
CUUCGUCAUCCUGAGAGGAAAGAGGCACCGGAGGAUCCAUAAAAUUGGAUACGGGAGCCAAAAUGGAGGAAUUAUCAAGGGCGGCGGGACAAGGAGCAAGUCGGCGGCGGGGGCGGCGAUCUUCGUCGAGAAGGAAGCGACUGUUUUCCUCUUCGUCUUCAAUAUCCCAAGCGUCUCUUCGUCGUCCUGAGAGGGAAGAGGCACCGGAGAAUCCAUAAAAUUGGUUACAGGAGCCGAAAUGGAGGAAUUAUCAAGGGCGGCGGGACAAGGAGCAGGUCGGCGGCGGGGGCGGCGAUCUUCGUCGAGAAGGAAUCGAUUGUUUUCCUCUUCGUCCUCAAUAUCCCAAGCGUCGUGAGAGGCACGUGCGAUAAAUGACUGAACAAAAUCAAUGCCGAAGAAUCCAAGGAGGUAAAUGAAAGAGGCAAUGAGAGAGAGAAUGGCAGCGAGUUCGGAGAGAGUGACGACGUGGAGAGGGGUGGAGUUACGGAUCUUGUCACGCCAGCGAUGGAGAAGGUAAUAAGCAACAGAAAAAAAGAGGGUGAUUCAUGAAUUUCAGAAAGACUUGUGAAAGAGGCAAUGAGAGAUAGAAUGGCAGCGAGUUCGGAGAGAGUAACGACGUGGAGAGGGGUGGAGUUACGGAUCUUGUCACGCCAGCGAUGGAGAAGGUAAUAAGCAACAGAAAAAAAGAGGGUGAAGAAAAUGCCGUUGGUUAGGUAUAGAGGGAGAGGAAGGGCAUCGGAAGCUUUAGGGGCAGGGGAAGGAGAACGACGGAGGGCGGCGGAGGAAGUUCGUUGAGGGUGGUGUUGAAGAUGGUGAUUCCGGUGAGAAGGCUUGGGAGGUCUCCGACGAACAUCCAUAUUCUGGCAGAGAAGAGAAGAGAAUAGAAAAUUUUGAAAAAGGAGGAGCGGAGGAGCGAUGAAUUCGGGA